rnacentral:rRNA from 1 species
GACGAACGCUGGCGGUGUGCUUAACACAUGCAAGUCGAACGGUAAGGCCCUUUCGGGGGUCCACGAGUGGCGAACGGGUGAGUAACACGUGAGUAACCUGCCCUCAUCUCUGGGAUAACAGUCGGAAACGGUUGCUAAUACUGGAUAUUAGCUUGCAAGGCAUCUUGUGGGUUGGAAAGAUUUUUUUUGGUUGGGGAUUGACUCGCGGCCUAUCAGCUUGUUGUUGAGGUCGUGGCUCACCACGGCUUCGACGGGUAGCCGGCCUGAGAGGGCGACCGGCCAGAGGGGGAUGGAGAGACGGGCCAAAGUGCGAAGGGAGGGAGCAGGGGGGAAUAUUGGACAAAGGAAGGAAGUGUGAGGGAGCAAGGCCGCGGGCGGGAUGAGGGCCUUCGGGUGGUAAAAAGAUUUGAAGGGUGACGAAGCGUUUUUGUGACGGUAGCAGUAGAAGAAGCACCGGCUAACUACGUG